rnacentral:rRNA from 1 species
CCUACGGGAGGCAGCAGUAGGGAAUCUUUCACAAUGGGCGAAAGCCUGAUGGAGCAACGCCGCGUGCAGGAUGAAGGCCUUCGGGUUGUAAACUGCUUUUAUAAGCGAGAAAUAUGAUGGUAACUUAUGAAUCAGGAUCGGCUAACUACGUGCCAGCAGCCGCGGUCAUACGUAGGAUCCGAGCAUUAUCCGGAGUGACUGGGUGUAAAGAGUUGCGUAGGUGGCAUAAUAAGUAGCUAGUGAAAUCUGGUGGCUCAACCAUUCAGACUAUUAGCUAAACUGUUAAGCUCGAGACCGUUAGGGGUAACUGGAAUUUCUAGUGUAGGAGUGAAAUCCGUAGAUAUUAGAAGGAACACCAAUAGCGUAGGCAGGUUGCUGGGACGGGUCUGACACUAAGGCACGAAAGCGUAGGGAGCAAACGGGAUUAGAUACCCGGGUAGUC